ACCAAUUGUUGCCUCGGCGGAUCAGCCCGCUCCCGGUAAAACGGGACGGCCCGCCAGAGGACCCUUAAACUCUGUUUCUAUAUGUAACUUCUGAGUAAAACCAUAAAUAAAUCAAAACUUUCAACAACGGAUCUCUUGGUUCUGGCAUCGAUGAAGAACGCAGCAAAAUGCGAUAAGUAAUGUGAAUUGCAGAAUUCAGUGAAUCAUCGAAUCUUUGAACGCACAUUGCGCCCGCCAGUAUUCUGGCGGGCAUGCCUGUUCGAGCGUCAUUUCAACCCUCAAGCCCAGCUUGGUGUUGGGACUCGCGAGUUAAACCGCGUUCCCCAAAUUGAUUGGCGGUCACGUCGAGCUUCCAUAGCGUAGUAGUAAAACCCUCGUUACUGGUAAUCGUCGCGGCCACGCCGUUAAACCCCAACUUCUGAAUGUUGACCUCGGAUCAGGUAGGAAUACCCGCUGAACUUAAGCAUAUCAAUA
rnacentral:rRNA from 1 species